GGAUCUAUGAUGAUUCCUUAUCAAACAUUCCUUGGAAAUCUGAACAAAAAAAGUGAAAAUUCUGUACCACAUCUAUCAUCUGGACUGUGGUCC